rnacentral:rRNA from 1 species
AGAGUUUGAUCCUGGCUCAGAAUCAACGCUGGCGGCGUGCCUCAGACAUGCAAGUCGAACGAUUAAGACUCUCUUCGGAGAGUGUAUAAAGUGGCGCACGGGUGAGUAACACGUAGGUAAUGUGCCUUUGGGUGGGGAAUAACUUAGGGAAACUUAAGCUAAUACCGCAUAAUGCAGCGGCUCGACAUCGAGACAGUUGUUAAAGAUUUAUCGCCUAAAGAGCAGCCUGCGGCAGAUUAGCUAGUUGGUAAGGUAAUGGCUUACCAAGGCUACGAUCUGUAACCGACCUGAGAGGGUGGUCGGUCACACUGACACCGAAUAACGGGUCAGACUCCUACGGGAGGCAGCAGUCGGGAAUUUUGGGCAAUGGGCGAAAGCCUGACCCAGCAACGCCGCGUGAAGGAUGAAGUAUUUCGGUAUGUAAACUUCGUAAGAAUAGGAAGAAUAAAUGACGGUACUAUUUGUAAGGUCCGGCUAACUACGUGCCAGCAGCCGCGGUAAUACGUAGGGACCAAGCGUUGUUCGGAUUUACUGGGCGUAAAGGGCGCGUAGGCGGCGUGGUAAGUCAGCUGUGAAAUCUCCGAGCUUAACUCGGAACGGUCAGCUGAUACUGCUGUGCUAGAGUACAGAAAGGGCAAUCGGAAUUCUUGGUGUAGCGGUGAAAUGCGUAGAUAUCAAGAGGAACACCUGAGGCGAAGGCGGGUUGCUAGGCUGAUACUGACGCUGAAGCGCGAAAGCUAGGGUAGCAAACGGGAUUAGAUACCCCGGUAGUCCUAGCCCUAAACGAUGUAUGCUUGGUG